AUGCAAGUCGAACGGCAGCACGGAGAGCUUGCUCUCUGGUGGCGAGUGGCGAACGGGUGAGUAAUAUAUCGGAACGUAUCCAAUAAUGGGGGAUAACGAGUCGAAAGAUUCGCUAAUACCGCAUACGCCCUACGGGGGAAAGCAGGGGAUCGUAAGACCUUGCGUUAAUGGAGCGGCCGAUAUCUGAUUAGCUUGUUGGUGGGGUAAAGGCUCACCAAGGCGACGAUCAGUAGCUGGUUUGAGAGAACGACCAGCCACACUGGAACUGAGACACGGUCCAGACUCCUACGGGAGGCAGCAGUGGGGAAUUUUGGACAAUGGGGGCAACCCUGAUCCAGCCAUUCCGCGUGAGUGAAGAAGGCCUUCGGGUUGUAAAGCUCUUUCGCAGGGGAAGAAAACUUAUGAUCGAAUAAAUCAUGAGGUUGACGGUACCUUGAUAAGAAGCACCGGCUAACUACGUGCCAGCAGCCGCGGUAAUACGUAGGGUGCGAGCGUUAAUCGGAAUUACUGGGCGUAAAGCGUGCGCAGGCGGUUUUGUAAGUCGGAUGUGAAAUCCCCGGGCUCAACCUGGGAACUGCGUUCGAAACUGCAAGGCUAGAGUGUGUCAGAGGGGGGUAGAAUUCCACGUGUAGCAGUGAAAUGCGUAUAGAUGUGGAGGAAUACCAAUGGCGAAGGCAGCCCCCUGGGAUAACACUGACGCUCAUGCACGAAAGCGUGGGGAGCAAACAGGAUUAUAUACCCUG
rnacentral:rRNA from 1 species